UACGUAGGGUGCAAGCGUUGUCCGGAAUUAUUGGGCGUAAAGAGCUUGUAGGCGGUUUGUCGCGUCUGCUGUGAAAUUUCGGGGCUCAACCCCGAACUUGCAGUGGGUACGGGCAGACUAGAGUGUGGUAGGGGAGACUGGAAUUCCUGGUGUAGCGGUGAAAUGCGUAGAUAUCAGGAGGAACACCGAUGGCGAAGGCAGGUCUCUGGGCCGAUACUGACGUGAGGAGCGAAAGCGUGGGGGAG
rnacentral:rRNA from 1 species